rnacentral:rRNA from 1 species
GAGGAAUAUUGGACAAUGGGCGCAAGCCUGAUCCAGCCAUGCCGCGUGCAGGAAGAAGCAUCUAUGGUGUGUAAACUGCUUUUGUACGGGAAGAAACACUCCUUCGUGAAGGAGCUUGACGGUACCGUAAGAAUAAGGAUCGGCUAACUCCGUGCCAGCAGCCGCGGUAAUACGGAGGAUCCAAGCGUUAUCCGGAAUCAUUGGGUUUAAAGGGUCCGUAGGCGGUUUAGUAAGUCAGUGGUGAAAGCCCAUCGCUCAACGAUGGCACGUCCAUUGAUACUGCUAGACUUUAAUUAUUAGGCAGUAACUAGAAUCUGUAGUGUAGCGGUUAAAUGCUUAGAUAUUCCCUGGAAUACCAAUUGCGAAGGCAGGUUACUACUAAUGGAUUGACGCUGAUGGACGAAAGCGUGGGGAGCGAACA